rnacentral:rRNA from 1 species
UACGUAGGGACCAAGCGUUGUUCGGAUUUACUGGGCGUAAAGGGCGCGUAGGCGGCGUGGUAAGUCACUUGUGAAAUCUCUGAGCUUAACUCAGAACUGCCAAGUGAUACUGCUGUGCUCGAGUGUGGAAGGGGCAAUCGGAAUUCUUGGUGUAGCGGUGGAAUGCGCAGAUAUCAGGAGGAACACCGGUGGCGAAGGCGGGAUCCUGGGCCAGUACUGACGCUGAGGAGCGAAAGCGUGGGGAGCAAACAGG